rnacentral:lncRNA from 1 species
CUUCUAGGUGGUUGAUAUAAUUCUUUAUUAAAACUACAUAGAGCAAUAUUGUUACAUGAGAUGUUGAAUUUGGAUUGUCUUGUUGUUAAAUCAUAUGUUGUGACUCAUUUUGAACUUAUUUCCCUUUUUGUUUCAUCAACUUGUCCAUAUGCUUAGUUACUUAGCUUGUUCUCAUAAAAGAGAAUGAUGGACAACUCCCAACAUAUAACUAUUUUAUGCUAGGUUGACGAAACCAACAUUUAAAGACUAUUCUUUAGAAUGUCACACAACAUAGAAUUUUAACGUUUGAAGAGCUUGAGUUCUUUAACAAUUAAAAUUACAAACUCUUAAUAAUAGUCAAGUACUAUUAUACUUUAGACAACUAUAAACCAAUCACAAUCAAGUUUAUAUCCAUUUUCACACCUCCCACUAUUUCUCAUGACUUUAAUGAGAAAUCAUUUCAUACAUUCAAAAUGUAUAAAAGUGGAGUACAUUGGUAGAAGACAUUGUGUAGUAGCUUUAAAACAUUUCAAGCUUAUUUGUUUCAAUCUUCACUAAGUUAAUGUCUUGUUAUUAAGUGACUAAAGUCUUUAAACAUUUUAUAGAUUUAGACACUUCUUUCUUGGUUUAAUCACUAACACAAUUGACAUUUUAAAACCUUUUAAAGAAUGCCCAAUUAUUUGUUCAAAACUACUAAUUGAAUCAAGAGUGAUCUUGAUCAUUGUGUUUCAAGUUAUGACCAUAUAAGAAACGUUUUUCUUAUUACUCACAUCAUUAUAAUGUGAUCUUCCUUUUCUUCAAGAAAGGAUACUCUAGACUUUUGUCAAUUCAUAUAGAACUCAUAGGUAGACAAAUGGAACC